GAGACAAAAUUGACUUUUGUGAGACAAAAUUCAUUUCAAUUUUGUCAAUUUUGUCUCACAAAAGUCAAUUUUGUCUCACAAAUGUC
rnacentral:sRNA from 1 species